GAUUGUCUUUGAUUUUGUUCUAUUUUUAUUCACAGAUAGACCACGAAGAUUGCCAUUUUCCUAUUCGCGGUCGGCCUUGAACUUCAAUGAAAGGGGGAGUCCUUCUCCCCUGUUUAAAGCAGUGUGCGGAAGGGGUGGGGCUUUGUCUGAGAGUUUCCUUUUGCAAGGGUGGAGACUACUUCCUAUUUGGCACAACAAAACUCUCAAUUGUUAACACGUUUGGGCCCAGAAGUAAAUAAGGAAGCUGACCAAAUUUCACAAUAAUUUACUUCUGGGAAACCUGAGAUCACCAAAAGGUGCAAGUUGCUCCAAAACAAUCCUCACCCAAGCACAGACAGGCACAUUAAACAACAAAGGGAACUUUUAACCAUGAAUACACAUAAAUAGACCAAAUUGUAAAUGUUAAACAUGAUUGCCUACAUAACAAAGGAUAUAGAGAACUUUAUUACGACAAGGUUGUUGGCAAUGCACCUUAACAGCACACUGGUCAGAAAUAGCCGGCGGUUGUUUGUUUGUUUGUGUGAGUGCUUUUAUCUGAUCUGGUGCUUUUCCAGACAAAUCAUCAUCCAGUUGGACACCUGAUGAACUUCCACAAACUUCAGGGUCUGGGAGCAAUCUUCAUCCAGUUGGACAACUGAUGAGGUCACCAACCAGGAUCUUCAGGGUCUGAGAUGAUAAAUUCAGCUACUGUGCUGCUGGAGCCGACUUAACCGGAUUCCCCUUUAAAACAGGAACCUUAUGGUAAGUCAUUUAGUACAGUCUUUCUCAACCUUUUUUGUACCAGGGAUUAGCAAAAUGUGUUCCUCUUCCUUGGUAGACUGCUUGGAUAGAAACUAGCUUACUACUACUAGCUAACUAAGUUAAUGUCUGCUAACCAUCUGAGGGACUGGCCAGUAAUAGCCAGAAUUUGAAAAACACUUAUCUAGUACACAUUUUGAAUAAACUGUACAAUAAACUUGCUAGCUUAUAUUGUUUACCAGUUUCUGACUGCUUUCAACGGAUGUGGUUCUUUCACAUUAAAAUCGGGAUACAGCUGAACGUCUCAGGAGAUCCAUGCAUUAAAACUCUGAGCAGAUGAGUGUUCAAGAGCAGCUUCUCGCCUAUAAAAACAAGCAUUUCUAUGCCAAAUUUAGUUCAGAGUUUGCUGCACUUGGAUUUAACGGAACGUUGAAGCAAUGCAGAGAAAAGUAAAAAAAAUCUGAAACAGGAAUAAAGAAACCUCAAGGGUGACAACAAGAUGAGUGGUUCCAUCUAUCUUGAAGAAAGCAGUUUUGUCGUCAUCGAUAGAGUCCUCACUCACCUCUCAAAAACUCAGGCUUAUUCCUUUCCAGGAGCAGAAGACUGUUCCCGGUUUAAAGCUGUCCUUGCUGUGUCUCCUUGCUCCACCAUUACGCCUGAUGUCAGCAUUCAGGUGGCAAGUGGCUCGGCAGCAUAUUGUAAAGCAUUAUGGGAAACUGGAUGAGUUUGUGACUUUGGUGACAGAGGUGGUUCCAGAGCUGCUGAGUUCCAGGCAGAGGACCCAACUCCUCCUGGGUCUGAGAGCAAGGGUUUGUGAGGUGGAAAUGCAAAGGAUUCUGAUAAACUGGUUCUGGAGUUGUGACUCAGGGAGAGCACCGGUGACCUUGUCCAUCCAGCCUCACCUGGACAAAAUCCAUUUGUUAACAGAAUACGCUAUACACAAGAAGAGUAAUGAUGAUGAGUUGGAGGCUACAGUCUAACUUUGUGGAGUUCAAACUCUGCUGGGAGACCCUUCUGAGAUGGAACACUUCUUCAGGAGGUAUUCCCAGUACAUUACGGCCCUCGGCAUGACACAGCACUGCAGGUACUGGUGUGGGAGUUCCUCUCCAUAUUGGAGGAGCUGCUACCUGUAACAGACUUCAGACAGGUACAGAUUGAAACAUCAGUGCCCAUCAAGUAUUGAGGCACCUCCCAAGUGGCACAGUGCUUGCUGUCCAGGCUCUGUCGCAGCCGGGCCACGACCGGGAGACCCAUGGGGCGGCGCACAAUUGGCCCAGUGUCAUCCGGGUUAGGGGAGGGUUUGGCCAGCAGGGAUGUUCUUGUCUCAUCACGCUCUAGCGACUCCAAUGCACACUGACACGAUCGCCAGGUGCACAGUGUUUCCUCCGACACAUUGGUGUGCCUGGCGUCCUUUGCCUCUCCCAAGUCCAUACGGGAGUUGCAGUGAUGGGACAAGACUGACUACCAAUUGGAUACCACGAAAUUGGGGAGAAAAAAGAGAUGGGAAAAAAACAUGUUAAAAAGUAUUGAGUGCUGAUCACUGUUUAAAGAAAAUGUUGGACUGAGGACUAUGGUGAGCUGAAGGAAAACAUCUACCCAAUGCGCAAGGCUCUGGCAUGCAGAGAAGGAACAAUACAAAUGAUACAGUGUUGAAUUCAAUGUAAAAAUCUAAAGCAUUGAAAAACACUGAAAUGUAAUCGAUUACAAAUGUAUGCAGCACCACCACCAGCAUCAUGGAAACCCGAAAAAGACUAAGUCUCCAUCCAGAAUUAUGUAUUUGUCACUGAGUAUGUUAAAUUCUUUGUCUGGUAUGUAGUGGAAGACAAUGUAUGGCAAGAGUGUAACUUACUGGAUCAGUAUGUUCUGUCUUUCCUAGGUUAUUUCUCUUACUACACUGCAGAUACCAUCCUGUCCCUCCCUCCAACAAUAAGAGUUGUCAUUAGCUCGGAGCAGGCCAGCUCUGACAAAAUGAGGUCAUGCUCAGAUGGAGAUAAAUGCUUCAAGAAUGGGACAGAUAGACCAGGAGAUGGAGAAGAGAGAGAAGGACAAUCUAAUGGGGUCAGAGAGGAGGAAAAAGAUAGGCAGACUGAAGAGGACUUCUGGUCCGUGUAUCCCAGUACACAGCAACGGCAAAGGAAAUUCAAGUUUGAAUAGUGACAUGGCAUCCCAGGUCCUUGCCUGCACAUUCUCUCAUAUUAUGGUAAAACUCCACCAGCACAUCAGGAUUAAGCAUGGCGGUGAGGACAGGAAGCUUCUACGCUUUAAAGAAUCUGGGCCUGAAAGCACCUUUCCUCAAGCAGCACAAAACUCCCCCAGCGUAUCAGCACUAGGCACCAAAGGAAGAACUGGAAGCGCCUCAACUCUAAAGAAUCUGGGAAUGAUAAUUCCCGUCCCACACGCAGCACAAAACUACUUCACCAGCACAUCAGGACUAGGCACCAAGGGGAUGAAUGGAAGUGUCAACACUCUGAAGACUCUGGGACAGAAAACCUUCACUCAAGCACAAAAAUGAUCCCCUAUAGACCCGAUAACAUGACUCUUUAAGUUGCCCUCAUUGUGGGAAUGUUUACCAAAACCUCAACUCCCUAGAAAAACGUAAGAAUUCACACAUUUCGAUUCUGUUGUAACCAGUGUGAGAGAAGAUUCUCGACCAGAUUAGAUCUGAAAAGACAUCAACGAGCUCACACAGGGGAAAGACCAUUCAAAUGCUCUCACUGUGAUGUGUGCAUAUUCACUCAAAAUGCAUGUACACACACACACACUGUGGAGAGUCCCUACUCUUGCACCAUUUGUGGGAAGACAUCUGUUCAACAUCUAGCUAGACACAUGCGGCUGCAUAAAAACUAUUUAUGUAGCA